UGGGGAAUAUUGGACAAUGGGCGCAAGCCUGAUCCAGCCAUGCCGCGUGUGUGAAGAAGGCCUUUUGGUUGUAAAGCACUUUAAGCGAGGAGGAGGCUACUUGGAUUAAUACUCUAGGAUAGUGGACGUUAGUCGCAGAAUAAGCACCGGCUAACUCUGUGCCAGCAGCCGCGGUAAUACAGAGGGUGCGAGCGUUAAUCGGAUUUACUGGGCGUAAAGCGUGCGUAGGCGGCUUUUUAAGUCGGAUGUGAAAUCCCUGAGCUUAACUUAGGAAUUGCAUUCGAUACUGGGAAGCUAGAGUAUGGGAGAGGAUGGUAGAAUUCCAGGUGUAGCGGUGAAAUGCGUAGAGAUCUGGAGGAAUACCGAUGGCGAAGGCAGCCAUCUGGCCUAAUACUGACGCUGAGGUACGAAAGCAUGGGGAGCAAACAGG
rnacentral:rRNA from 1 species